ACCUAGGAAUUUUGCCACAGUUGUUCAAUUGUGGCAAAAUUCCCUAGG
rnacentral:pre_miRNA from 1 species